rnacentral:ncRNA from 2 species
GGAGGAACCUCUGGAGAGAACCGUUAAAUCGGUCGCCGAAGGAGCAAGCUUUGCCGCGUAUUUGCAGCUAAGUGAAACUCUCAGGCAAAAGGACAGAGGAGUGGAA